rnacentral:rRNA from 1 species
GACGAACCGAGCGAACGUUGUUCGGAAUCACUGGGCUUAAAGGGCGCGUAGGCGGGUGCUCAAGUCCGGGGUGAAAUCCUCCAGCUCAACUGGAGAACUGCCUCGGAUACUGGGCGUCUCGAGUGUGGUAGGGUAUGCGGAACUAUCGGUGGAGCGGUGAAAUGCGUUGAUAUCGAUAGGAACUCCGGUGGCGAAGGCGGCAUACUGGACCACUACUGACGCUGAUG